rnacentral:rRNA from 1 species
UACGUAGGGUGCAAGCGUUAAUCGGAAUUACUGGGCGUAAAGCGUGCGCAGGCGGUUUUGUAAGACAGGUGUGAAAUCCCCGGGCUUAACCUGGGAACUGCAUUUGUGACUGCAUAGCUAGAGUACGGUAGAGGGGGAUGGAAUUCCGCGUGUAGCAGUGAAAUGCGUAGAUAUGCGGAGGAACACCGAUGGCGAAGGCAAUCCCCUGGACCUGUACUGACGCUCAUGCACGAAAGUGUGGGGAGCAAACAGG